GGCAGGUAGAGAGAGAGAAAGCGAGCGGGUCCCAGUCUGUGCGGCCGGCGCUCUCAUCAGUCCCUGCCUCCUCGCUCCAAGAAUUUCGGAGCGCGGCCAAGGCCAGGCUGGGUUCGAGUCUCGGCGGGAUGCAGAACUCAGGGAUGCGAUCAGGGGUGGAGGUGUGGGAAGCUCCGAUCAGGUUUCUCUUUCCUUACGGGCAAAAGCGGGUUAAGUUUCGAUGGUAUCGCGGCAUCACUGUGAAGACCACCGCACACAGUGAUCGUGAAUGCGUGGAAGCACUCUACUCCCUCCAAGAAAAAUGAAGACGGAAGUUGGUUUUUCUCAGGAGACAAGCUGCUGUUGGCUCUACAAGUGACAUCUCAGAGAGCCUGCAGUUCCAAAGAGGACAGAUCAGAGCUCACGAUCAGAGAAUUUGGGUAAGAAGUUAAGCAAAUUUAUUUAACAUGUUUGAGUCCAAGGUGUAAAGUGGGGUUAAUAAUACCUACCACAUAAAAUUGUUCUAAGAGUCAAAAAGAUAUGUGUGAAAAUGAUUGUCAAAGUGUAAGUGCCAGUUAACAGCUGUUAUUAUUGUUAUGUAUGUUUGCUUGGUCAAAGAUUAGCUGAUGCACACACAGAUUCAUUCAACAACAUUUCUCUGUCCAGCCAACCAAAGCAAAUUUGUUUUGUUUUGCCAACAGUUCAUCUUCAGUAACACCUUAGAAGCAUUUCCUGUGGAAGACUUCUUGCAAACAGGAGAGAUGUGUCCUUACGUGACUGGUUCCCUGUGACCACGUUAAGCCUUAUGUUUUACUUAACACGGAAGUGUGAGCCGUCCAGUACUUGGGAGGAUAGUUCAACAGGGUCAGGCCAAGUACCUGGACACGGAAAUAUCCGCAGAGGAAGACUGUGGCCAUUCGAGCUCACAGCGUGAGCCACAGAACAUCCGGUCAUGGAGCUGGAAAACAAUUCAGUGAAGCAGACAUAAACAGGGCCCAUAUGGGAGAGACCAGAGGUAUGCACAGAGUGAAAAGAAACGAACACUUUAAAGCAGACUCACACACCUGUGUAUAGAAGGCUGCAUUUCAAGGAAAGGAAGAAGAGGUUAUGACCAAUAAAAUGCAAGUAUUCUGGCUUAUACA
rnacentral:lncRNA from 1 species